rnacentral:tRNA from 1 species
GCCACUUCCAGGGUAUAACCUUUUCACUCGUAAUGAAAAGGUCACGAGUUCGAUUCUCGUAGGCGGCU